AGGUGUUCUGGGAAUUUCUCCUACCCCGCAAACCGUCCUACCCGUUGUUCCUGAGCAUGUGCGCGCAUGCGCACAACACAUAAAGUGAAGCAAAGCGCAUCCGGCUGUGAUUUAAUGCUACCCCGUUGUCAUAUUUGCAGGAAAAUAGCUUCGGUGAAGUCUGCUGUCAAGUUACUGGACACGUUGUAUUUGCACAACACUUCUGAAUCCGCAGCUUUGGUGUUUUAAGGCUGUUUCGGUAAUGUCGUUAUUUAAUAAGUUAAAUUAUUUGCAUUGUUAACUGCACAUAUUGAAGCUCAGAAGAAAAUGUUUACUUACAUUCGUAGAUAUGGAGAAGAAGUGGGAAGAGAUUUACGCGUUUAUUUCUGCGGGCUCCAACCCUUCAGGAUAUGACAAGGCUCAGAGGCAAAACCUCAGAAGAUAUGCCUCAAAAUUCCAACAAAAGGAUGGAGAACUGUUUGUUGGAACCAGAAGAGUAGUAAAAACCAUGGAUGAUGCCAGGAAGCUAUUUCAUGAGUUUCAUUCAUCUCCAAUUGGAGGACACACUGGCACACACAAAACGCUAAAUGCAGUGUGUUCCAGAUUUUACUGGUUUGGUAUGAUAGUUGACAUUAAAACAUGGAUUCUGGAAUGUGACCAGUGUCAAAAAGUUGGGAAACCACUGACUGCUGUGCAACCGUUGCAGUGUAUUCAGGUGUCUGAAGUGUGGGAACUUAUUGGUAUAGAUCUUACUGGACCUCUUCCUAAAACGUCAAGCGGCUUCCAGUAUAUACUUACUGCAACUGACUACUUUUCAAAAUGGGUUGAAGCUUUCCCAUUAAAAACGAAAUCUGCAUCUGAGGUAGCCAAUGAGAUGAAAAGACCAAUGACAACAUAAAAAGAGCCCUCCGAAAACUGGUGAAUGACCAGCAGAAUAACUGGGAUCUGUAUCUAGAUCCCACCCUGUUUUCACUGCGGUCAAAAGUACACACCACAACAAAAUACUCACCUUUUUUUCUGAUGUAUGGAAGAGAGGCAGUAUUUCCAUCAGAAGUGCCUGCUCAAGUGCCGUGAAGUGGCUUUGGGCUGCAAAAGACACCGGGCGUGUGGAGGCAGUCGUUGGGCCAUACAAAUUGUAUGACUCUUCUUUUCGCACACUGGAGGACAGUGGGUGGCUUUCUGAUGAGGUCAUUGAUGGAUACCUGCACUGCCUCAUUAGGAAACAAAAGGCAAG